UGGCACUUUAUCACAAGCACAGGGAGCGGC
rnacentral:piRNA from 1 species